rnacentral:rRNA from 1 species
UACGAAGGGGGCUAGCGUUGUUCGGAAUUACUGGGCGUAAAGCGCACGUAGGCGGAUCCUUAAGUCAGGGGUGAAAUCCCGAGGCUCAACCUCGGAACUGCCUUUGAUACUGGGGAUAUCGAGUCCGGGAGAGGUGAGUGGAACUGCGAGUGUAGAGGUGAAAUUCGUAGAUAUUCGCAAGAACACCAGUGGCGAAGGCGGCUCACUGGCCCGGUACUGAUGCUGAGGUGCGAAAGCGUGGGGAGCAAACAGG